rnacentral:rRNA from 1 species
GACGGAGGAUGCAAGCGUUAUCCGGAAUGAUUGGGCGUAAAGCGUCCGCAGGUGGCAGUUCAAGUCUGCUGUCAAAGACCGGGGCUUAACUUCGGAAAGGCAGUGGAAACUGAGCAGCUAGAGUAUGGUAGGGGCAGAGGGAAUUCCUGGUGUAGCGGUGAAAUGCGUAGAGAUCAGGAGGAACACCGGUGGCGAAGGCGGGUCUCUGGGCCGAAACUGACGCUGAGGAGCGAAAGCGUGGGGAGCAAACAGG